CUACGGGAGGCAGCAGUGAGGAAUAUUGCACAAUGGGGGGAACCCUGAUGCAGCAACGCCGCGUGGAGGAUGACGCAUUUCGGUGUGUAAACUCCUUUUAUAUGUCAAGAAAAUGACGGUAGCAUAUGAAUAAGCACCGGCUAACUCCGUGCCAGCAGCCGCGGUAAUACGGAGGGUGCAAGCGUUACUCGGAAUCACGGGGCGUAAAGGACGCGUAGGCGGGUUGGAAAGUCAGGUGUGAAAUCCUACAGCUUAACUGUAGAACUGCACUUGAAACUUCUAAUCUAGAGUAUGGGAGGGGGAGAUGGAAUUAGUGGUGUAGGGGUAAAAUCCGUAGAUAUCACUAGGAAUACCUAAAGCGAAGGCGAUCUCCUGGAACAUUACUGACGCUAAGGCGUGAAAGUGUGGGGAGCAAACAGGAUUAGAUACCCUAGUAGUC
rnacentral:rRNA from 1 species